rnacentral:lncRNA from 1 species
UUUGCUGGAAAUGGAAUGUGAUGUAGGACUGCAUUGGUUUUAGUAUCUAUCUGCAUAGUUUCUUAAUGCAAUUAUGAAUUUGUAUAUAGGGUCAUCUAUUCUUCUUCGAAGGACUUGGCAUCUUGGGUAAAUAACCCAUGGUAAUAUAAGUAGAAGGUGCAUUUGGUACAUUUUACUGAAUAUUAAUUUAUAUAAGCCAAAUAACUAUUACAAAUGCUAUAUAAGCUAGAUGAGGGUAAUUCAGAUGUUUAGCACCAGCAUUCUCAAGAUUGAUUUAAAUGAUGCUACCUCUAUGCUGCGAAAAUACAAUUCUUCUAUGUACUUGACAAUUGAUAUACUUGCUGCUAUACAUUGUGCAGGGAGGAAAGAGAAAGGAAGGAAGGUGCCUGGUUUGUUGUUGCCUUUGCUCAGUCGUUCGGGAACCAACAGCAAGAGGGACAACGAGAGCCUUUUUCAGACUUGCAAAGUUGGAUCCCUUCUGCACAGCUGCAUUCCAUCGACCAAAACAUUGUACUUACCGCGUUUGUGUUCUUGUAAUAAUGCAGCUUGCGCUGUGCAACUGAGCCGCAGAUGGCAGCACCUGACAAUUGUUACUCGCUUGCCCCCAUUAUAGACACUGCCCUCUGUCAAACUGAAAGUUGAAGAGUUCAGUUCCACAUGAUAAUUGAAUUAUAGAGUUUGGUGCUGCUGCCUGUGCAA